AUUUGCCUGGAGUGUUCGAUACUUCCUGUUUUUGAACCUUCAUGACAUUUACGGGAGCUUUUUGUCGAUGCGGAAUACGGCCUCCCUGCAAAGGGAUUCCUAAGACCGCCGCUGGGCACCCACCUGGCUGUAUGCUAGGUGUCAAAAAGGAAGAACGGCAUUCUGGGUUUUUC
rnacentral:other from 1 species